AUGAACGCUAGCUACAGGCUUAACACAUGCAAGUCGAGGGGCAGCAUGGUCUUAGCUUGCUAAGGCCGAUGGCGACCGGCGCACGGGUGAGUAACACGUAUCCAACCUGCCGUCUACUCUUGGACAGCCUUCUGAAAGGAAGAUUAAUACAAGAUGGCAUCAUGAGUCCGCAUGUUCACAUGAUUAAAGGUAUUCCGGUAGACGAUGGGGAUGCGUUCCAUUAGAUAGUAGGCGGGGUAACGGCCCACCUAGUCUUCGAUGGAUAGGGGUUCUGAGAGGAAGGUCCCCCACAUUGGAACUGAGACACGGUCCAAACUCCUACGGGAGGCAGCAGUGAGGAAUAUUGGUCAAUGGGCGCAGGCCUGAACCAGCCAAGUAGCGUGAAGGAUGACUGCCCUAUGGGUUGUAAACUUCUUUUAUAAAGGAAUAAAGUCGGGUAUGGAUACCCGUUUGCAUGUACUUUAUGAAUAAGGAUCGGCUAACUCCGUGCCAGCAGCCGCGGUAAUACGGAGGAUCCGAGCGUUAUCCGGAUUUAUUGGGUUUAAAGGGAGCGUAGAUGGAUGUUUAAGUCAGUUGUGAAAGUUUGCGGCUCAACCGUAAAAUUGCAGUUGAUACUGGAUAUCUUGAGUGCAGUUGAGGCAGGCGGAAUUCGUGGUGUAGCGGUGAAAUGCUUAGAUAUCACGAAGAACUCCGAUUGCGAAGGCAGCCUGCUAAGCUGCAACUGACAUUGAGGCUCGAAAGUGUGGGUAUCAAACAGGAUUAGAUACCCUGGUAGUCCACACGGUAAACGAUGAAUACUCGCUGUUUGCGAUAUACGGCAAGCGGCCAAGCGAAAGCGUUAAGUAUUCCACCUGGGGAGUACGCCGGCAACGGUGAAACUCAAAGGAAUUGACGGGGGCCCGCACAAGCGGUGGAGCAUGUGGUUUAAUUCGAAGCAACGCGAAGAACCUUACCAGGUCUUGACAUCGAUCUAAAGGCUCCAGAGAUGGAGAGAUAGCUAUAGAGAAGACAGGUGGUGCAUGGUUGUCGUCAGCUCGUGUCGUGAGAUGUUGGGUUAAGUCCCGCAACGAGCGCAACCCCUAUUGUUAGUUGCUACGAAAGAGCACUCUAGCGAGACUGCCGUUGACAAAACGGAGGAAGGUGGGGAUGACGUCAAAUCAGCACGGCCCUUACGUCCGGGGCUACACACGUGUUACAAUGGGGGGUACAGAGGGCCGCUACCACGCGAGUGGAUGCCAAUCCCAAAAACCUCUCUCAGUUCGGACUGGAGUCUGCAACCCGACUCCACGAAGCUGGAUUCGCUAGUAAUCGCGCAUCAGCCACGGCGCGGUGAAUACGUUCCCGGGCCUUGUACACACCGCCCGUCAAGCCAUGGGAGCCGGGGGUACCUGAAGUGCGUAACCGCGAGGAGCGCCCUAGGGUAAAACUGGUGACUGGGGCU
rnacentral:rRNA from 1 species